rnacentral:sRNA from 1 species
UUUCGCCGGUCGCUCAAGAGGAUGAGUACCUCCGAAGGAGGUUUGAGCCGAGCGCAGCGAGACCACGUUGCUUUAGCAACGGCCCGCAGGGCAAGCAUCAAAGAUGCGCGUAAUCCUCUCUCGCCGACCA